rnacentral:rRNA from 1 species
GUGAGGAAUUUUGCGCAAUGGGCGAAAGCCUGACGCAGCAACGCCGCGUGGAUGAUGAAGGCCUUCGGGUCGUAAAAUCCUGUCAAGUGGGAAGAAGUCCCCUCGAUUAAUACUCGGGUGGAUUGACUGUACCACUGGAGGAAGCCCCGGCUAACUCCGUGCCAGCAGCCGCGGUAAUACGGAGGGGGCAAGCGUUGUUCGGAAUUAUUGGGCGUAAAGGGCGCGUAGGCGGCCAUGCAAGUCGGUUGUGAAAUCCCUUGGCUCAACCAAGGAACUGCGUCCGAAACUGCAUGGCUAGAGUCCGGGAGAGGGUAGUGGAAUUCCCAGUGUAGCGGUGAAAUGCGUAGAUAUUGGGAGGAACACCGGUGGCGAAGGCGGCUACCUGGACCGGAACUGACGCUGAGGCGCGAAAGCUAGGGGAGCAAACAGGAUUAGAAACCCCGGUAGUCC